rnacentral:rRNA from 1 species
GAUGAACGCUGGCGGCGUGCCUAAUACAUGCAAGUCGAGCGAACAGACGAGGAGCUUGCUCCUCUGACGUUAGCGGCGGACGGGUGAGUAACACGUGGAUAACCUACCUAUAAGACUGGGAUAACUUCGGGAAACCGGAGCUAAUACCGGAUAAUAUAUUGAACCGCAUGGUUCAAUAGUGAAAGACGGUUUUGCUGUCACUUAUAGAUGGAUCCGCGCCGCAUUAGCUAGUUGGUAAGGUAACGGCUUACCAAGGCAACGAUGCGUAGCCGACGUGAGAGGGUGAUCGGCCACACUGGAACUGAGCCACGGUCCAGACUCCUACGGGAGGCAGCAGUAGGGAAUCUUCCGCAAUUGGCGAAAGCCUGACGGAGCAACGCCGCGUGAGUGGUGGAGGUCUUCGGAUCGUAAAACUCUGUUAUUAGUGAAAAACAAAUGUGUAAGUAACUAUGCACGUCUUGACGGUACCUAAUCAGAAAGCCACGGCUAACUACGUG